AUUGAACGCUGGCGGCAGGCCUAACACAUGCAAGUCGAGCGGAUGAAGGGAGCUUGCUCCUGGAUUCAGCGGCGGACGGGUGAGUAAUGCCUAGGAAUCUGCCUGGUAGUGGGGGAUAACGUCCGGAAACGGGCGCUAAUACCGCAUACGUCCUGAGGUAGAAAGUGGGGGAUCUUCGGACCUCACGCUAUCAGAUGAGCCUAGGUCGGAUUAGCUAGUUGGUUGGGUAAAGGCCUACCAAGGCGACGAUCCGUAACUGGUCUGAGAGGAUGAUCAGUCACACUGGAACUGAGACACGGUCCAGACUCCUACGGGAGGCAGCAGUGGGGAAUAUUGGACAAUGGGCGAAAGCCUGAUCCAGCCAUGCCGCGUGUGUGAAGAAGGUCUUCGGAUUGUAAAGCACUUUAAGUUGGGAGGAAGGGCAGUAAGUUAAUACCUUGCUGUUUUGACGUUACCAACAGAAUAAGCACCGGCUAACUUCGUG
rnacentral:rRNA from 1 species